rnacentral:rRNA from 1 species
AGCGAACGCUGGCGGCAGGCUUAACACAUGCAAGUCGAACGAACUCUUCGGAGUUAGUGGCGGACUGACGAGUAACACGUGGUAACGUGCCCUUUGGUUCCGAACCACUCAGGGAAACUUGUGCUAAUACAGCUUGUGACCUUCGGGGGAAAGAUUUGUCGCCAUUAGAGCGGGCCGCGUCUGAGUAACUCGUUGGUGGGGUAACGGCUCACAAAGGCGACGAUCAGUAGUUGGUCUGGGAGGAUGAGCAGCCACACUGGGACUGAGACACGGCCCAGACUCCUACGGGAAGCAGCAGUGGGGAAUCGUGCACAAUGGGCGAAAUGCUGACGCAGCCAUGCCGGGUGAAAGAUGAUGGUCUGAGGAUUGUAAGAUUCUUGCACCGAAGACGAUAAUGACGGUACCCGGAGAAGAAGCCACGGCUAACUUCGUG